rnacentral:rRNA from 1 species
GGAUCAUUACCUAGAGUUGCGGGCUUUGCCUGCUAUCUCUUACCCAUGUCUUUUGAGUACCUUCGUUUCCUCGGCGGGUUCGCCCGCCGAUUGGACACUUUAAACCAUUUGCAGUUGCAAUCAGCGUCUGAAAAAACAUAAUAGUUACAACUUUCAACAACGGAUCUCUUGGUUCUGGCAUCGAUGAAGAACGCAGCGAAAUGCGAUAAGUAGUGUGAAUUGCAGAAUUCAGUGAAUCAUCGAAUCUUUGAACGCACAUUGCGCCCCUUGGUAUUCCAUGGGGCAUGCCUGUUCGAGCGUCAUUUGUACCUUCAAGCCUUGCUUGGUGUUGGGUGUUUGUCUCGCCUCUGCGUGUAGACUCGCCUCAAAACAAUUGGCAGCCGGCGUAUUGAUUUCGGAGCGCAGUACAUCUCGCGCUUUGCAUUCAGAACGACGACGUCCAAAAGUACAUUUUUACACUCUUGACCUC